AUUGAACGCUGGCGGCAGGCCUAACACAUGCAAGUCGAACGAGUGGCGGACGGGUGCGUAAUGUCUGGGAAACUGUCCGAUGGAGGGGGAUCACUACUGGAAACGGUAGCUAAUACCGCAUACCAUCGGAUGUGCCCAGAUGGGAUUAGCUAGUCGGUGGGGUAACGGCUCACCUAGGCGACGAUCCCUAGCUGGUCUUAGAGGAUGACCAGCCACACUGGAACUGAGACACGGUCCAGACUCCUACGGGGGGCAGCAGUGGGGAAUAAUGCACAAUGGGCGCAAGCCUGAUGCAGCCAUGCAGCGUGUAUGAAGAAGGCCUUCGGUGUGUAAAGUACUUGCAGCGAGGAGGCGUUACUCGCAGAAGAAGCACCGGCUAACUCCGUGCCAGCAGCCGCGGUAAUAC
rnacentral:rRNA from 1 species